GAGCUUGCUCCUUUGAAGUUAGCGGCGGACGGGUGAGUAACACGUGGGUAACCUACCUAUAAGACUGGAAUAACUUCGGGAAACCGGAGCUAAUGCCGGAUAACAUAUAGAACCGCAUGGUUCUAUAGUGAAAGAUGGUUUUGCUAUCACUUAUAGAUGGACCCGCGCCGUAUUAGCUAGUUGGUAAGGUAAUGGCUUACCAAGGCGACGAUACGUAGCCGACCUGAGAGGGUGAUCGGCCACACUGGAACUGAGACACGGUCCAGACUCCUACGGGAGGCAGCAGUAGGGAAUCUUCCGCAAUGGGCGAAAGCCUGACGGAGCAACGCCGCGUGAGUGAUGAAGGUUUUCGGAUCGUAAAACUCUGUUAUUAGGGAAGAACAAAUGCGUAAGUAACUGUGCGCAUCUUGACGGUACCUAAUCAGAAAGCCACGGCUAACUACGUGCCAGCAGCCGCGGUAAUACGUAGGUGGCAAGCGUUAUCCGGAAUUAUUGGGCGUAAAGCGCGCGUAGGCGGUUUCUUAAGUCUGAUGUGAAAGCCCACGGCUCAACCGUGGAGGG
rnacentral:rRNA from 1 species